rnacentral:rRNA from 1 species
GACGAACGCUGGCGGCGUGCUUAACACAUGCAAGUCGAACGAAGUGGCGAACGGGUGAGUAACGCGUAAUCAACCUGCCCUUCAGAGGGGGACAACAGUUGGAAACGACUGCUAAUACCGCAUACUGAAGGAGGGGAUUGCGUCUGAUUAGCUAGGUGGAGGGGUAACGGCCCACCAAGGGGAUGAUCAGUAGCCGGUCUGAGAGGGUGGACCGCCACAGUGGGAACGAGAAAAGGCCCAGAACUCUACCGGAGGCAGCAGUGGGGAAUCUUCCGGAAUGGACGAAAGGCUGACGGAGCAAAGGCGGGGGGGUGAUGACGGCCGUCGGGGUGGAAAGCUCUGUUAAUCGGGACGCGGUACCGGAAUAGAAAGCCACGGCUAACUACGUGCCAGCAGCCGCGGUAAUAC